CCCUUAGAUGUUCUGGGCCGCACACGCGCUACACUGAAGGAGGCAGCGUGUACUCCUGGAUCGAAAGAUUUGGGUAACCCGCGAAUCUCCUUCGUGCUAGGGAUUGAGGUUUGCAAUUAUCCUUCAUGAACGAGGAAUUCCCAGUAAGUGCUAGUCAUAAGCUUGCGCUGACUACGUCCCUGCCCUUUGUACACACCGCCCGUCGCUACUACCGAUUGAAUGAUUUAGUGAGGACUUCGGACUGGGACCGAUGCGGCUUUCGGGCUGCGUCGGUAUUCUGGAAAGAUGUCCAAACUGUAUCAUUUAGAGGAAGUAAAAGUCGUAACA
rnacentral:rRNA from 1 species